UACAGAGGUCUCGAGCGUUGAUCGGAAUUAUUGGGCUUAAAGGGUGCGUAGGCGGUCCUGUCAGUGCCUUGUGAAAUCCCAUGGCUCAACCAUGGAAUUGCUCGGUAGACCACAGACUUGAGGUCGGUAGGGGUCGCUGGAACUCUAGGUGGAGCGGUGAAAUGCGUAGAUAUCUAGAGGAACGCCAAAGGUGAAGACAGGCGAACUGGGCCGAUUCUGACGCUGAGGCACGAAAGCGUGGGUAGCGAACGGG
rnacentral:rRNA from 1 species